ensembl:lncRNA
UUCAGAUCAAGAUGCAAACUCAUAGCCGUUCCUACUACCACACCUGUGCUCGGCCAUCAUGGAUUCUAAGCUUGUGAAAUGACUCUAUUACUGAAUCUACCGCUCUCCAAUUUGGAAAAUUAGCCUGUGCCCCACCUUCACUGAAACUCUGACCCCCUUGUACGACCACAGAGAGAGCUUCUUCCAGGGCUGCUGCCGUCUCAGUGUUAACCUAUGAUGUCACUGUGGCCAGGAUGGUGAUUUCCAUGGGAAGCAAGAAAGGAAGAUUUUGGAAAAUAAAAACUAUACUAGUCUACUCUCUGCUUUCCCUACCCCAAAGAGAUAAAUGCCAAGCGAUUGCUACCUCUGUUCCUGAGACUCCAG